rnacentral:rRNA from 1 species
ACCCGCUGGAACUUAAGCAUAUCAAUAAGCGGAGGAAAAGAAACUAACAAGGAUUCCCCUAGUAACUGCGAGUGAAGCGGGAAAAGCUCAAAUUUAAAAUCUGGCAGCCUUUGGUUGUCCGAGUUGUAAUCUAGAGAAGUGUUAUCCGCGCUGGACCGUGUACAAGUCUCCUGGAAUGGAGCGUCAUAGAGGGUGAGAAUCCCGUCUUUGACACGGACUGCCAGGGCUUUGUGAUGCGCUCUCAAAGAGUCGAGUUGUUUGGGAAUGCAGCUCAAAAUGGGUGGUAAAUUCCAUCUAAAGCUAAAUAUUGGCGAGAGACCGAUAGCGAACAAGUACCGUGAGGGAAAGAUGAAAAGAACUUUGGAAAGAGAGUUAAACAGUACGUGAAAUUGCUGAAAGGGAAACGCUUGAAGUCAGUCGCGUUGUUUGGGAAUCAACCUUGCUUUUGCUGGGCGUACUUUCCAGAUGACGGGCCAGCAUCAAUUUUGACCGUUGGAUAAAGGCUGGAGGAAUGUGGCAUCUUCGGAUGUGUUAUAGCCUCUGGUCGCAUACAACGGUUGGGAUUGAGGAACUCAGCACGCCGCAAGGCCGGGUACUUGUACCACGUUCGUGCUUAGGAUGCUGGCAUAAUGGCUUUAAUCGACCCGUCUUGAAACACGGACCAAGGAGUCUAACAUGCCUGCGAGUGUUUGGGGUG